ACUGCGCCUCCCCGGCACGUCGCGGGCGCGCCCUCGCCCAGGCCACGCCCCCCGGGCCGGCGGGGCGGGGGCGGGGCCAGGGCCAGGGAAAGGGCGGGCGCUGCUUCUUUCAUACCGGCGUUCAUUGGUGGACAGGCGCUGCGCGUCGCAGCAGCUGAUUGAUCAAAAAUUGGAGUGAAACGAGUGUUUUCUGAGGGGGGUUGCUCUUGAGCUAGAAAGAUGGGAGGCUGCUGGCUGAGUCGCUGCUGUGGAAACCCCGGUUGCUGCGGUGCGACGGGACAGGACUGCUGCAGCUGAAAGCUGGCCCGUGUUGGGGAGCUGUUCAGAUGUCGGCUCCUGCCAAACUUGCGGCCUCGCCUCUCUCUAGACUAGAGUUCAUCACGGAAGCGGGAAGGUAACCAGUGACGGUUCGAAAAGACAAGCACAGCGCAGCGGCGCGUGUCUGUAAGGAGGCUGCGAAGCGACACUGCCCUCAGCCGGGUCUGCCGCUUCUCUCGUGUUGAAACCGAAAGGUCCAGCGAGGCGCUCAGCCGUGCUGCACCGGAGCAGCAAGCGGGGAAAAUAAACAUUGCCAUUACACUGAAUUUGUUAUAUUCAA